AGAGUUUGAUCAUGGCUCAGAAUCAACGCUGGCGGCGUGCCUAACACAUGCAAGUCGAACGAGAAAGUGGAGCAAUCCAUGAGUAAAGUGGCGACCGGGUGAGUAACACGUGACUAACCUACCCUCGAGUGGGGAAUAACUCCGGGAAACCGGAGCUAAUACCGCAUAACAUCGCAAGAUCAAAGCAGCAAUGCGCUUGAGGAGGGGGUCGCGGCUGAUUAGCUAGUUGGCGGGGUAAUGGCCCACCAAGGCAAAGAUCGGUAUCCGGCCUGAGAGGGCGCACGGACACACUGGAACUGAAACACGGUCCAGACUCCUACGGGAGGCAGCAGUGGGGAAUUUUGCGCAAUGGGGGAAACCCUGACGUAGCAACGCCGCGUGGAGGAUGAAGUCCCUUGGGACGUAAACUCCUUUCGACCCAGACGAUACUGACGGUACGGGUGGAAGAAGCACCGGCUAACUCUGUGCCAGCAGCCGCGGUAAUUC
rnacentral:rRNA from 1 species